rnacentral:rRNA from 1 species
CCAGCAGCCGCGGUAAUUCCAGCUCCAAUAGCGUAUAUUAAAGUUGUUGCAGUUAAAAAGCUCGUAGUUGAAUUUCUGGGAGGUUCCAGUCGCAUGCUUCAUUGCAUGUCGUGCUGUUGGAUCUCCCCUCCUCGCAGGGAAGGCUGUGCCGUUAAUUCGGGGCAGACUGGAACUGCGUCUUUUACUGUGAAAAAAUUAGAGUGUUUAAAGCAGGCUUUUCAAGCUUGAAUACAUUAGCAUGGAAUAAUAAGAUAGGACUUCGGUCUAUUUUGUUGGUUGCGGAUCGAGGUAAUGAUUAAUAGGGAUAGUUGGGGGUAUUCAUAUUUAAUUGUCAGAGGUGAAAU